AUGGUGCAUCUCCCUGAGAAUCCUCAGUGUGCCUGUUCUCCAUGGGACUGGAGGCUCUCUGCAGAGGAAUGUCACUUGGAGCUUGAAGGUUCAGGUUGUGUUUGCACCCGGGAGGCUAUCCCUAGACCCUCGCCCAUCUCUGCCAUGAAUCUUCCUGCAGCUCUUCGCUUUCUUAUCUGACCAAGACAGGGCCGAGAAAGUGGCCAUGAAGCAGUUGUUUCCACCGUGUAACCAGGAGCCACCUAUCCUGGUCUCUGGCCUCUGUUGCCCCAGGUGAGCCAUGUAUCCUGCUGCCUCCAUUCUGCUAAGUGCAGUCCCGUCUGCCUGCCUGCCCCCUCGUCCUCCCCAGCCCAGCUGAGACCGACUGUGCCAGGCCCUUCCACCCUCGGGAAGCCAGAGCAGUUGGCUCUCCUCGGUGCUGCUGUGUCCCCGUGCCUCCCUCCAUGGAAGCAUUUAUCACCUUGUGUGGUGACCAGCUGUUGACAUGUCUGUACUCCCCACUGGAUUCAGAGUUCUCUGGGGGCAGGGAUGUUGGUAUGGAUCAUGGACCUUACUCUGUUCCUGUCACUUGCUAAGUGAGUGAGUGAAGGGAGCACCAGCUACUGGGACCACAUUUGCUAACCAUGCUUCUGCAUCCCAACUCUUUUUGAUGGCGUGAAAUCUCCAGAGGGAAACGUAUCUGCUGGGGAUGGGGAAAGGAGUAGACCGGGGGGCGGGGUCUAGGUAAGUUGCAUUUCUCCUGAUUCGGCAGUGUAUGAGUUUCCCAUUGCUGCUGUGACAAAUUACCACGUUUGGUGGCUCUAAACAAAACAGAUAGAUUAGCCUGCAGGUGUGGGCUCAGAAGUCUGAAAGGAGCCCCACCAGACGAAAACCAAGGUGUCUGUCCAUCUGUGUUUCUUCUGGAGGCUUCCAUUUCCUUGUCUUUCAGACUCUGGAGUCAGCCUGCAUUCCUUGGCUUGCAGCCCCUUCCUCAUAUCACCCCAACCUCUGACUCCCAUAUGCACUCCGACCUCUUACAUCCCUCUUAUGAUGACCCUUGUGGU
rnacentral:lncRNA from 1 species